rnacentral:rRNA from 1 species
GAUGAACGCUAGCGGCAGGCUUAAUACAUGCAAGUCGAGGGGUAGCAAGAUUGUAGCAAUACAAUUGUUGACGACCGGCAAACGGGUGCGGAGCACGUACACAACCUUCCUACAAGUGGGGAAUAGCCCAGAGAAAUUUGGAUUCAUACCCCGUAACAUAGCGAUGUGGCAUCACAUUGCUAUUAUAGCUUCGGCGCUUGUUGAUGGGUGGGCGGCUGAUUAGAUAGUUGGCGGGGUAACGGCCCACCAAGUCUACGAUCAGUAGCUGAUGUGAGAGCAUGAUCAGCCACACGGGCACUGAGACACGGGCCCGACUCCUACGGGAGGCAGCAGUAAGGAAUAUUGGACAAUGGACGCAAGUCUGAUCCAGCCAUGCCGCGUGAAGGAUUAAGGUCCUCUGGAUUGUAAACUUCUUUUAUAAGGGACGAAAAAAGGUCUUUCUAGAUCGUCUGACGGUACCUUAUGAAUAAGCACCGGCUAACUCCGUGCCAGCCGCCGCGGUAAUAC